GCCCCGGUAGUAUAGCCCGGUUCAGUAUGCGGGCCUGUCGAGCCCGUGACCCGGGGUUCAAAUCCCGGCCGGGGCG
rnacentral:tRNA from 1 species